GUGACCUCAAAUCAGGUAGGACUACCCGCUGAACUUAAGCAUAUCAAUAAGCGGAGGAAAAGAAACUAACAAGGAUUCCCCUAGUAACUGCGAGUGAAGCGGGAAAAGCUCAAAUUUAAAAUCUGGCAGUCUUUUGGCUGUCCGAGUUGUAAUCUAGAGAAGUGUUAUCCGCGCUGGACCAUGUACAAGUCUCCUGGAAUGGAGCAUCAUAGAGGGUGAGAAUCCCGUCUUUGACAUGGACUUCCAGGGCUUUGUGAUGCGCUCUCAAAGAGUCGAGUUGUUUGGGAAUGCAGCUCAAAAUGGGUGGUAAAUUCCAUCUAAAGCUAAAUAUUGGCGAGAGACCGAUAGCGAACAAGUACCGUGAGGGAAAGAUGAAAAGAACUUUGGAAAGAGAGUUAAACAGUACGUGAAAUUGCUGAAAGGGAAACGCUUGAAGUCAGUCGCGUCGUCCAGGGAUCAACCUUGCUUUUGCUUGGUGCACUUCCUGGUUUGAUGGGUCAGCAUCAAUUUUGACUAUUGGAAAAAGGUUAAGGGAAUGUGGCAUCUUUGGAUGUGUUUAUAGCCCUUGGUCACAUACAAUGGUUGGGAUUGAGGAACUCAGCACGCCGCAAGGCCGGGUUUAAACCACGUACGUGCUAGGAUGC
rnacentral:rRNA from 1 species